GAAGCAGCCAUCAUUUAAAGAAAGCGUAAUAGCUCACUGGUCGAGUCGGCCUGCGCGGAAGAUGUAACGGGGCUAAACCAUGCACCGAAGCUGCGGCAGCGACACUAUGUGUUGUUGGGUAGGGGAGCGUUCUGUAAGCCUGCGAAGGUGUGCUGUGAGGCAUGCUGGAGGUAUCAGAAGUGCGAAUGCUGACAUAAGUAACGAUAAAGCGGGUGAAAAGCCCGCUCGCCGGAAGACCAAGGGUUCCUGUCCAACGUUAAUCGGGGCAGGGUGAGUCGACCCCUAAGGCGAGGCCGAAAGGCGUAGUCGAUG
rnacentral:rRNA from 1 species